GCACAGAGGAGCUUGCUCCUCGGGUGACGAGUGGCGGACGGGUGAGUAAUGUCUGGGAAACUGCCCGAUGGAGGGGGAUAACUACUGGAAACGGUAGCUAAUACCGCAUAACGUCGCAAGACCAAAGUGGGGGACCUUCGGGCCUCACACCAUCGGAUGUGCCCAGAUGGGAUUAGCUUGUAGGCGGGGUAACGGCCCACCUAGGCGACGAUCCCUAGCUGGUCUGAGAGGAUGACCAGCCACACUGGAACUGAGACACGGUCCAGACUCCUACGGGAGGCAGCAGUGGGGAAUAUUGCACAAUGGGCGCAAGCCUGAUGCAGCCAUGCCGCGUGUAUGAAGAAGGCCUUCGGGUUGUAAAGUACUUUCAGCGGGGAGGAAGGUGUUGAGGUUAAUAACCUCAGCAAUUGACGUUACCCGCAGAAGAAGCACCGGCUAACUCCGUGCCAGCAGCCGCGGUAAUACGGAGGGUGCAAGCGUUAAUCGGAAUUACUGGGCGUAGAGCGCACGCAGGCGGUCUGUUAAGUCAGAUGUGAAAUCCCCGGGCUUAACCUGGGAACUGCAUUUGAAACUGGCAGGCUUGAGUCUCGUAGAGGGGGGUAGAAUUCC
rnacentral:rRNA from 1 species